rnacentral:rRNA from 1 species
CUACGGGCGGCAGCAGUGAGGAAUAUUGCACAAUGGGGGGAACCCUGAUGCAGCAACGCCGCGUGGAGGAUGACGCAUUUCGGUGCGUAAACUCCUUUUAUAUGUCAAGAAAAUGACGGUAGCAUAUGAAUAAGCACCGGCUAACUCCGUGCCAGCAGCCGCGGUAAUACGGAGGGUGCAAGCGUUACUCGGAAUCACUGGGCGUAAAGGACGCGUAGGCGGGCUUGUAAGUCAGGUGUGAAAUCCUACAGCUUAACUGUAGAACUGCACUUGAAACUACGAGCCUAGAGUAUGGGAGAGGGAGAUGGAAUUAGUGGUGUAGGGGUAAAAUCCGUAGAUAUCACUAGGAAUACCUAAAGCGAAGGCGAUCUCCUGGAACAUAACUGACGCUAAGGCGUGAAAGCGUGGGGAGCAAACAGGAUUAGAUACCCUAGUAGUC